UACGGGGGGGGCAAGCGUUGUUCGGAAUUACUGGGCGUAAAGGGCUCGUAGGCGGCCAACUAAGUCGGACGUGAAAUCCCUCGGCUUAACCGGGGAACUGCGUCCGAUACUGGAUGGCUUGAGUGUGGGAGAGGGAUGCGGAAUUCCAGGUGUAGCGGUGAAAUGCGUAGAUAUCUGGAGGAACACCGGUGGCGAAGGCGGCAUCCUGGACCACGACUGACGCUGAGUGAGCGAAAGCCAGGGGAGCAAACGGG
rnacentral:rRNA from 1 species